rnacentral:pre_miRNA from 9 species
CCACUCGUAAAAAUGGCUGUGUCGUGUAGCAACCCUCAUAUCACAGCCAUUUUUGACGAGUUGGG